rnacentral:rRNA from 1 species
GCGUAUACAAUCUGCCUUAUACAGGAGAAUAGCCCAGAGAAAUUUGGAUUAAUGCUCCAUAGUCUUUCUCUCUCGCAUGGGAGAGUUUGUAAAGCUUCGGCGGUAUAAGAUGAGUAUGCGUUCUAUUAGCUAGUUGGUGAGGUAACUGCUCACCAAGGCAACGAUAGAUAGGGGUUCUGAGAGGAUGAUCCCCCACACUGGUACUGAGACACGGACCAGACUCCUACGGGAGGCAGCAGUGAGGAAUAUUGGUCAAUGGACGCAAGUCUGAACCAGCCAUCCCGCGUGAAGGAUGACGGC